AACGAUGUGUGGUCCAUCGCUCCAACUCGAUUGGAGAGGAAAGUCCGGACAACGUAGAGUGCCGUACCAUCUAACAGGUGGGUUUUUCGAUAAGUCGGAAAAUAGAAAGUGUCACAGAAACUAAACUACCUUGAAUGGUUAAUCUGUUCAGGGAAAAGGUGAAAACGUGAGGUAAGAGCUCACGCACUUCCGGGGUAACUCGGAUUUGGGAUAAACCUUACGGGUUGAAAUGCCAUGUAUACUCCGAAUCUUAGGAUGGAAGUUACUCGCUUCUAAAUCUUUUGACUUCAAAAGUGCAUCGGGGAGGGUAGGCAGCGCAGAUAAAUGAUGGAUGUUCCGUUUUCGGAAAACAGAAUCCGGCUUAUAGCACAUUUAAAA
rnacentral:RNase_P_RNA from 1 species